GUUUUCCAGUGAGUAAUCCGAAGAAACCGUCGGAGGCAUUUUUUUGUUCCGGCUUCGGAGGUUCCGUGUAAUAAGCAGCUCUAGCAAAACUGCGGCAGUUCUCUUAAAAGGAUGCUCCAGUGGCCUGCUGCUACCCACAGCUUGUGAAAGGAAGUCUGUUGAGCAGUCCGAUCCUGUGCAUAUUUAAAAAAAGGAGCUUGUUUAUGUGUCCUGUAUCAACCAAUUUCUCCAGUGAAUUGUAAACACCAAUUUAAAGUCAUGAAAAAACUCCAGAAGAAGGCAGCCCUUAUAAAUGGAAGGACGGAUUCUGGUUUAUGUAUCACCA